UGGUGAAGGGGGGAGGGGGAUUUGUUAUUGCUGGUGUUUGGAUUUAGAUUAGAGCUGUCCCACCUGUGCUGCAAAUUCCGGAAGUCCGCUGGGAGGCAGCCACGGGCCAGACUUUCCUCUUUUUGUUGUCUUCGUUCUCCAUGUUAUGCAGCCCGGAUAGGGUAGCCCUAGUUCUACAAUGCGGGGUGAGAACCAACAUCUGCUCUGUUUGGGGAAUCUCUUCUUAGAUGGCGUGGUGUGGUCAGAAAGCGUAGCGGUUAGAGCGCGCCUAAGAUCCUUGCAAGGACUGACAUCGAAUUAGGGAGUGCAAUUGUUUCAAAAAUGAAGCAGGCUCCUUCCCAAUCAGUUCCAGCCUGGUUCCAAGACCAUCAUGCCCUGAGGGUGACUUGUUAUCUACCCAGCACCUCAGCAUUCUCAAAACAACUCUGCAGUAUCACAUUGGCUGCUGGUGGACUGGUUAUGGGGGUUGGAUUUGGGGAAGUGAAAGAAUUGCUUUGUGCUUUGCAAGGGACCUUCAGAUUCUACCUGACUUCUACAUCCACUUUCUUUCAGUAAAAUUCUUUUGAUUAACCUCAA